rnacentral:rRNA from 1 species
CCGCGUGUGUGAAGAAGGCCUUAGGGUUGUAAAGCACUUUCAGUGGGGAGAAAGGUCAUUCACCUAAUACGUGAGUGAAUUGAUGUUACCCACAGAAGAAGCACCGGCUAACUCCGUGCCAGCAGCCGCGGUAAUACGGAGGGUGCAAGCGUUAAUCGGAAUUACUGGGCGUAAAGCGCACGUAGGUGGUUUGUUAAGCUAGCUGUGAAAUCCCCGGGCUCAACCUGGGCACUGCAGUUAGAACUGGCAAGCUAGAGUAGGGUAGAGGGGUGUGGAAUUCCAGGUGUAGC